CCGAAGUUCUUCUACAGUUUUUGUCAGACUCUGGUUUUCCAUCUCCAAUUUCAAUAACCUGCUUGAUGUUAACUCAUUCACCUCAUGGCCCAAGGAUUUUUGUGGUGCUAUAAUAAUGAAAAAUACUGUCACUGAAAUGAAGAAAUUAACUGAGAAAGAAAAACAGAAUGUAGAAGCAAGGAUCGUCAAAUUCUUGCUGUCAAACAAAUUCAUGUAACACUGACUGCAACCAUUAAAUGGAGAGAUAUAAGGAAGCUACUGAUGAUGGCCGGUACUGACGACUGCUACACCUUGACCAGGGGCUGCACUGCCACCCUGGGCAACUUCUGAGGCCAUUUCCAAGACCUACAGCUAUCUCACCCCUGACCUCUGGA